CCUACGGGAGGCAGCAGUGAGGAAUAUUGGUCAAUGGACGGAAGUCUGAACCAGCCAUGCCGCGUGCAGGAAGACUGCUCUAUGAGUUGUAAACUGCUUUUAUACAAGAGUAAAACUGAAUACGUGUAUUCAGCUGAAUGUACUGUAUGAAUAAGGAUCGGCUAACUCCGUGCCAGCAGCCGCGGUAAUACGGAGGAUCCGAGCGUUAUCCGGAUUUAUUGGGUUUAAAGGGUGCGUAGGCGGAUUGAUAAGUUAGUGGUGAAAUGUGCGGGCUGAACUCGGGAACUGCCUUUAAUACUGGUGAUCGAGAGAGUAGAUGCGGUAGGCGGAAUGUAUGGUGUAGCGGUGAAAUGCUUAGAGAUCAUAAAGAACCCCGAUUGCGAAGGCAGCUUACCAAUCUAUAUCUGACGUUGAGGCACGAAAGCGUGGGGAUCAAACAGGAUUAGAUACCCGGGUAGUC
rnacentral:rRNA from 1 species